GCAUAAUCAGUAGUCUUUUAAUUGAAGGCUGGUAUGAAUGGUUGGAUGAAAUAUUAACUGUUUCAUUUAAAUUUUUUUUAGAAUUUUAUUUUUUAGUUAAAAAGCUAAAAUUUUUUUAAAAGACGAGAAGACCCUAUAAAUCUUUAUAUUUUAUUUUUAUUAAUUGUUAAGAUGAAUUUAGUUAUUAAAAAUUAAAAUAUUUUAUUGGGGUGAUAUUAAAAUUUAAUAAACUUUUAAUUUUUAAAUACAUAAAUUUAUGAUUUUAUGAUCCAUUAUUAAUGAUUAAAAAUUUAAGUUACUUUAGGGAUAACAGCGUAAUUUUUUUGGAGAGUUCAUAUCGAUAAAAAAGAUUGCGACCUCG
rnacentral:rRNA from 1 species